rnacentral:lncRNA from 1 species
UUUUUUUUUUUUUUUUUUUUUUUUGGUUUUCUUAGGGCCGCACCUGUGGCCUAUGGAAUUUCCCAGGCUAGGGGGUCAAAUUGGAGUGGAGGCUGCUACACCACUGCUCAAGGAAACACAGGAUCUUUAAUCCACUGAGCAAGGCCAAGGGUGGAACCCGUGUUCUCAUGGGUACUAGUCAGGUUCAUUACCAUUGAGCCAUGGUGGGAACUCCCCAGAGUUCUAGACUUCUAAGCUUCUUCUCUGCUUCUUGUUAUGGGUACUCCAAAGAGGCUACCCCCUCCUUUUUUUCCCCCUAAAAUUGGGCUUCAGUGUUUUAUCCUUGAUGUUACCAAGCUGCUUUUCUUCUUGAAUCAGAGAAAGACAUUAUAUUGACUGAAGUCAGAUUGAUAAUGUGUACCGAUGGCCUGGAAUGGCCCAGUCUAGGGACCCAUUCUCACCUAACCCCCAUAUCUAACUAUAAGCAGGCUGAAAUUGAACAGAACUUUGAAUCUGUGGUCUAGCAUUCCCAUUCACCCUACGCAUGGAUUUUCCUGGGUAUUAGGAGGAGUGAAGAAAUGCCAGUGCGGGAAAAACAGCCACAGUGGCCCUAAUAUUUUCUUAUACAACCUCAUCUUUGGCUAGAACAAUUUUGCCUGGCAUGUGACAUGCUGUCUGGCACAAAAUGAUGAAUACAGAAAAAGAUCCAAGAGAUUAAAAGGUCAAUGGAUUAUCCGUUAAGCAAUCACGUCUCAAUAUGCCUCAAUUUGUCUAGGUCAUGUUUUACUGCCUGGGAUAAGUGGACAAGGAUCCGAUAGUUUUCCCCUGGGAUCGUUCUCUUUCAUGUCUCUACCACAGCCCUUUCUUUGAACUCCGGUCGCCUUUGUGUACCUUCUUACUAGGUGACAGUAUUUUAAAAUUACUUUUAAGCACCACCCACCUCAGAUGAUUUUAGCAGAUAAGAGCACAAGGCUUUUUGAAGGUUGAAGGUAAAUAACUUGGGGGAAUUUAAGUCAGCAAACGAGGGAGGAAAAUCCAUCUAUACCGGGUUCCAUUAAUAUGGCAGGUAUCCAGAUAGCUUGGUCAUUGGAACAUUGUUGGCAGGGCCUGGGGUGGUAGUGUGGGGGGGAUGUGGAGCCAAGUUUUGUUGAACUUUCAGGGAAUGGAAUGGUAUUUUAAUUUGCAUUACCUAUUUAGUUGCUAAUGGGUUAAUUCCACCCUGGCAUCAAACUUAGAAAAAUUAGUAGUUUCCUGUGCAUACUAAACACACAGGAGCUUUACCCUAACUGCUUUAACAUUUUGAAAUAUUCCCAGGCUUAGAUACCAAACCACUUUGGUUUUCUACUUGGGGAAUAAGUACUGGGGUGCAAUCCAUUGCCUGGGAUAUUUGGCAGCUUUGGAAGAUAAAAGCUUCAUCAGUAACCAACCGUCUGAUACCAGAUGAGUAAAAAUCAGUUCUAGGGAGAAAGCCCAUGCCAUUCCCAAUGAACAUGGCAUUUUGAGGAAAAAUUUAGUGCCACGGAGCAUGUGGCAUCUUUAACAUUGCCUCAAGUAGGUUCAGUAGUAGAUUUUCCUAACAGCCCACACCAGAAUUCUUAGGUAUUAUUUUUUAGAAGAAGAUGAUCUUAAAGGACAGAGAAGAUAAAAUCAUGAAUUGUAGAUUCUGUUAACCAUCCACCAUGCAUACUUCAUUCAUCUGGCUGGACUGGCAGUGGUUAGUUACACAAAUUUCUGAAGGGAAAUAUGGUUUUCUUGGGUAACUUGCUAGGAGCACAACUCAGAAACUAUGAUUUCUGUCAUUUGAACAAUUUUGACCCUUGGAGGUAUCACAAUUUUUUUUUAAAUGAAUUGUCUGUUUUAUUUGGGUUUGGCAGUCAGGUUUCUGUUUGCCCAGAUUUUAAGUGCUUAGUACUUCAAAAGCAUGAAAACAUUUCCCCCUCCAGAAAAUCAACCUCAGGUCUAACCAAUGUAUGUAGACCAGUGAUUCCCAACUAGGGAAAAUGAGAGAACUGAGGGAAGCUGUAGAUUUAUUGUAAAGGGGUUCUUCAUUUUAUGUGCAGAAAAAGCACUAUGUGCUACCUAAAUGAGUAAUAUGUUUCCCAUGCAUUUCAGGUCAUUUUUUUUUUCAAGUGCAUAAAGAUAUCAUCAAAAUGCACAAAAUAUUACUAUAAAACAUUAAUAAACUUAUAGUAAGUUAUUAUAUAUUUUUGCAAUAGAUGGAUACUAUUAAGUGUCUUAUGAGGUUCAUUUUUUAGUACCAGGGAAACUGCAUGGUCUUUAUAGGAACAAACUAAAUUGAUGCUUAAAAACUUAGCUGUUCCUAUAAGUUGAAGCUUGCCAAAAUGAUCAAUUAUAUAAAAUUCUCAUAGAAGGAGUUUAGGAAAAUGAUAAUCAACUUGUGUCAUUAGGGAGUGCUUUUUGUGGACUAGUAGAUCCUUUAUCUAAAACUGCCUACUCACAUUACUUUCUUGGCUUCUUGUAGGAAACAGAGUUGUACGUUUCCCCCAAAAUUUGAACAAACAUGAACUAACUUUUGUCUUACAGGGAUCUUUUAAGAUAGUGGAAUCUAAGAAUCAUGAGGCAUUAGGGAUAAAGGGGACUAGAAAGUUGGAAGCUUAAUCUUUCACUGUGAUGUUUGGCAGGUUCAUGACAAGAGUUGGUCACUGUUAGGUACCUAUUUCAUAGCAGAGCUGGGACAAAAAAACAGCUUUAUUCCUUGGUCAAGACUUUGAUGCUGUGAUCACAUCAGUUCAUGGAAGCGGAAAGGCAGGUUAGCAUAAAUGUUCCUGGGCAAACAGGUGCCAACUCUCCAGUACUGCUAGACUCAUAAUUUGGGUAAUAUUGAACUUCUGUAAAAUGUUAUUCAAAAGUAUGUGUUUCAAUGUUUAAAGUUAACUAUAGUUAAAAUUUAUGUUUAACUAUUUAUAGCUACAUGGAGAUGCUUUACUCCAUGAAAACUAAAAUUUUAGCAGGAAGGAUAAUUGAAGGAAGUAAAAAGGAUUAGUUAAUAGAUUUCUGUGGUCCCUUUUCCCAACUUUAAUGAUCACAAAGUACUUCAGAUCCGUCUAGCAAUCCCGUAUUUCACUUCCUGAGGAAUUAGGAAAAUCGACACGGGGGCAAUGAAAAUCCUCAAAUUUUUUCAUUGGAGUCUGGAGAGCUGGUCUUCUUUAGGAACUAUUACACAUACCAACUUUCCAAGACAAGAUUCUAUGGAGAAAUAGGCACAUGGUAAAUAGGCUUGACUGUUUUGCCCAAAAGAACAUGUUGGUGAGUUCAGUGUUUUUUAUUUUUUUAAUUUUUUUAUUAUUAUUUUUUUUUGUAUUUUUGCUAUUUCUUAGGCCGCUCCCACGGCAUAUGGAGGUUCCCAGG